rnacentral:rRNA from 1 species
UACGUAGGGGCAAGCGUUGUCCGGAUUUAUUGGGCGUAAAGAGCUCGUAGGCGGUUCCGUAAGUCGUGAAGUCAAAUCUCUGGGCUCAACCCAGAAUCGCUUCCGAUACUGCGGUGACUGGAGUCCGGUAGGGGAGUGUGGAAUUCCUGGUGUAGCGGUGAAAUGCGCAGAUAGUCAGGAGGAACACCAACAGCGAAGGCAGCACUCUGGGCCGGUACUGACGCUGAGGAGCGAAAGCAUGGGGAGCGAACAGG